rnacentral:rRNA from 1 species
GCUGCUAUACAUGCAAGUCGAACGAACUCUGGUAUUGAUUGGUGCUUGCAUCAUGAUUUACAUUUGAGUGAGUGGCGAACUGGUGAGUAACACGUGGGAAACCUGCCCAGAAGCGGGGGAUAACACCUGGAAACAGAUGCUAAUACCGCAUAACAACUUGGACCGCAUGGUCCGAGUUUGAAAGAUGGCUUCGGCUAUCACUUUUGGAUGGUCCCGCGGCGUAUUAGCUAGAUGGUGGGGUAACGGCUCACCAUGGCAAUGAUACGUAGCCGACCUGAGAGGGUAAUCGGCCACAUUGGGACUGAGACACGGCCCAAACUCCUACGGGAGGCAGCAGUAGGGAAUCUUCCACAAUGGACGAAAGUCUGAUGGAGCAACGCCGCGUGAGUGAAGAAGGGUUUCGGCUCGUAAAACUCUGUUGUUAAAGAAGAACAUAUCUGAGAGUAACUGUUCAGGUAUUGACGGUAUUUAACCAGAAAGCCACGGCUAACUACGUGCCAGCAGCCGCGGUAAUACGUAGGUGGCAAGCGUUGUCCGGAUUUAUUGGGCGUAAAGCGAGCGCAGGCGGUUUUUUAAGUCUGAUGUGAAAGCCUUCGGCUCAACCGAAGAAGUGCAUCGGAAACUGGGAAACUUGAGUGCAGAAGAGGACAGUGGAACUCCAUGUGUAGCGGUGAAAUGCGUAGAUAUAUGGAAGAACACCAGUGGCGAAGGCGGCUGUCUGGUCUGUAACUGACGCUGAGGCUCGAAAGUAUGGGUAGCAAACAGGAUUAGAUACCCUGGUAGUCCAUACCGUAAACGAUGAAUGCUAAGUGUUGGAGGGUUUCCGCCCUUCAGUGCUGCA